UACAAGGAAUUGACGGGGCCGCACAAGCGGAGGAACUAUGUGGUUAAUUCGAUGAUACGCGAGGAACUUACCUGGGCUUAAAUGUAGAGUGCAUUUUUAGAGAUAGAAAUUCCCUUCGGGGCUUUCUGCAAGGUGCUGCAUGGUUGUCGUCAGCUCGUGCCGUGAGGUGUCGGGUUAAGUCCCAUAACGAGCGCAACCCUUAUCGUUAGUUGCCAUCUGGUAAUGCAGGGGACUCUAGCGAAACUGCCACCGUAAGGUGAGAGGAAGUGGGGAUGACGUCAAAUCAGCACGGCCCUUAUGUCCAGGGCUACACACGUGUUACAAUGGUCGGUACAGAGGGCAGCUACCUGGUGACAGGAUGCUAAUCUCGAAAACCGGUCUCAGUUCGGAUCGAAGUCUGCAACUCGACUUCGUGAAGCUGGAUUCGCUAGUAAUCGCGCAUCAGCUAUGGCGCGGUGAAUACGUUCCCGGGCCUU
rnacentral:rRNA from 1 species